rnacentral:rRNA from 1 species
UACGAAGGGGGCUAGCGUUGCUCGGAAUCACUGGGCGUAAAGCGCACGUAGGCGGCUUUUUAAGUCAGGGGUGAAAUCCUGGAGCUCAACUCCGGAACUGCCUUUGAUACUGGGAAGCUUGAGUCCGGGAGAGGUGAGUGGAACUCCGAGUGUAGAGGUGAAAUUCAUAGAUAUUCGGAAGAACACCAGUGGCGAAGGCGGCUCACUGGCCCGGUACUGACGCUGAGGUGCGAAAGCGUGGGGAGCAAACAGG